rnacentral:piRNA from 1 species
ACCCUUCAUUCUUUUCUGAAGUGUCCAGUGC